CCCUGUAUCGAAAGUGGCGUGGGCGCAUCCAUCGCCUCGGCCAUCGAUAGUACAGGGAGAGCAAAGUUGCCGGCCUUUCCCGUGUCUGCUGGAGCUCCGUUUCCUGUCAGACCCUGGUGUCGGCGCACA